UGGCGGACGGGUGAGUAACGCGUAGGAAUCUGCCUGAUAGUGGGGGAUAGCCCGGAGAAAUUCGGAUUAAUACCGCAUAAUCUAUUCGUAGUAAAGUGGGGGACUUUCGAGCCUCACGCUAUCAGAUGAGCCUGCGUAAGAUUAGCUUGUUGGUAGGGUAAAAGCCUACCAAGGCUACGAUCUUUAGCUGGUCUGUGAGGAUGAUCAGCCACAUCGGGACUGAGACACGGCCCGAACUCCUACGGGAGGCAGCAGUGGGGAAUAUUGGACAAUGGGGGCAACCCUGAUCCAGCAAUACCGCGUGUGUGAAGAAGGCCUGAGGGUUGUAAAGCACUUUCAAUUGUGAAGAAAAGUUAACGGUUAAUAACCGUUAGCCUUGACGUUAACUUUAGAAGAAGCACCGGCUAACUCCGUGCCAGCAGCCGCGGUAAUACGGAGGGUGCAAGCGUUAAUCGGAAUUACUGGGCGUAAAGCGUGCGUAGGUGGUUUAUUAAGUCAGAUGUGAAAGCCCCGGGCUUAACCUGGGAACUGCAUUUGAAACUGGUAAACUAGAGUAUGGUAGAGGAAAGUGGAAUUUCUGGUGUAGCGGUGAAAUGCGUAGAUAUCAGAAGGAACAUCAAUGGCGAAGGCAGCUUUCUGGACCAAUACUGACACUGAGGUACGAAAGCGUGGGUAGCAAACAGGAUUAGAUACCCUGGUAGUCCACCCCGUAAACGAUGAUAACUAGCCGUUGGGGGGAUUUACCCUUUAGUGGCGAAGCUAACGCGUUAAGUUAUCCGCCUGGGGAGUACGGCCGCAAGGUUA
rnacentral:rRNA from 1 species